rnacentral:rRNA from 1 species
UACGUAGGAGACAAACGUUAUCCGGAGUUAUUGGGCGUAAAGGGCGUGCAGGCGGUCUGUUAAGUUCGGCGUGAAAGCGCCUGGCUAAACCGGGCGAGGUCGUCGGAGACUGGCAGACUUGAGGGUGAUAGAGGCGGGUGGAAUUCCGGGUGUAGUGGUGAAAUGCGUAGAGAUCCGGAGGAACACCAGUGGCGAAGGCGACCCGCUGGGUCACACCUGACGCUGAGACGCGACAGCAUGGGGAGCGAACGGG